rnacentral:rRNA from 1 species
CCUACGGGAGGCAGCAGUGGGGAAUCUUGCGCAAUGGGCGAAAGCCUGACGCAGCAACGCCGCGUGCGGGAAGAAGGCCUUAGGGUUGUAAACCGCUUUCAGUAGGAACGAAAAUGACGGUACCUGCAGAAGAAGGUGCGGCCAACUACGUGCCAGCAGCCGCGGUGACACGUAGGCACCAAGCGUUGUCCGGAUUUAUUGGGCGUAAAGAGCUCGUAGGCGGUUCAGUAAGUCGGGUGUGAAAACUCUGGGCUUAACCCGAGAGCCCGCCACUCGAUACUGCUGUGACUUGAGUUCGGUAGGGGAGCAGGGAAUUCCUAGUGUAGCGGUGAAAUGCGCAGAUAUUAGGAGGAACACCGGUGGCGAAGGCGCUGCUCUGGGCCGAUACUGACGCUGAGGAGCGAAAGCGUGGGUAGCAAACAGGAUUAGAUACCCUGGUAGUCCACGCCGUAAACGUUGGGCACUAGGUGUGGGUUCCAACCAACGGAAUCCGCGCCGUCGCUAACGCAUUAAGUGCCCCGCCUGGGGAGUACGGCGGCAACGCUAAAACUCAAAGAUAUAGACGNGNGAGAGCGACGACGACGACGACGAGGAG